GACGAACGCUGGCGGCGUGCUUAACACAUGCAAGUCGAACGGAAAGGCCCUGCUUUUGUGGGGUGCUCGAGUGGCGAACGGGUGAGUAACACGUGAGUAACCUGCCCUUGACUUUGGGAUAACUUCAGGAAACUGGGGCUAAUACCGGAUAGGAGCUCCUGCUGCAUGGUGGGGGUUGGAAAGUUUCGGCGGUUGGGGAUGGACGCGCGGCUUAUCAGCUUGUUGGUGGGGUAGUGGCUUACCAAGGCAUUGACGGGUAGCCGGCCUGAGAGGGUGACCGGCCACAUUGGGACUGAGAGACGGCCCAGACUCCUACGGGAGGCAGCAGUGGGGAAUAUUGCACAAUGGGCGGAAGCCUGAUGCAGCAACGCCGCGUGCGGGAUGACGGCCUUCGGGUUGUAAACCGCUUUCGCCUGUGACGAAGCGUGAGUGACGGUAAUGGGUAAAGAAGCACCGGCUAACUACGUG
rnacentral:rRNA from 1 species